rnacentral:rRNA from 1 species
UACGAAGGGUGCAAGCGUUACUCGGAAUUACUGGGCGUAAAGCGUGCGUAGGUGGUGAGUUAAGUCUGUCGUGAAAGCCCCGGGCUCAACCUGGGAAUGGCGAUGGAUACUGGCUCGCUAGAGUGCGGUAGAGGAGACUGGAAUUCCUGGUGUAGCAGUGAAAUGCGUAGAUAUCAGGAGGAAUACCGAUGGCGAAGGCAGGUCUCUGGGCUGACACUGACGCUCAUGCACGAAAGCGUGGGGAGCAAACAGG